rnacentral:rRNA from 1 species
GAUGAACGCUGGCGGCGUGCUUAACACAUGCAAGUCGAACGAUGAGCGAGGGAGGUUGCUCCCCCCGGAUUAGUGGCGAACGGGAGAGUAAGGCGUGAGGAAUCUGCCCCGAACUCUGGGAUAGGCGUCGGAAACGACGACUAAUACCGGCUACGAGGCGCGUAUGCAUCUUCUGCGCGUGGAAAGAAUUUCGGUGCGGGCUGGGCGCGCGGCCUAUCAGCUUGUUGGUGGGGUGACGGCCCACCAAGGCGACGACGGGUAGCCGGCCUGAGAGGGUGACCGGCCACACUGGGACUGAGACACGGCCCAGACUCCUACGGGAGGCAGCAGUGGGGAAUAUUGCACAAUGGGCGCAAGCCUGAUGCAGCGACGCCGCGUGAGGGACGACGGCCUUCGGGUUGUAAACCUCUUUUAGUACGGAAGAAGCGAAAGUGACGGUACCUGCAGAAAAAGCACCGGCUAACUACGUGCCAGCCGCCGCUGUAACAC